GUGGGGAAUCUUGCGCAAUGGGCGAAAGCCUGACGCAGCCAUGCCGCGUGAAUGAUGAAGGUCUUAGGAUUGUAAAAUUCUUUCACCGGGGACGAUAAUGACGGUACCCGGAGAAGAAGCUCCGGCUAACUUCGUGCCAGCAGCCGCGGUAAUACGAAGGGGGCUAGCGUUGCUCGGAAUUACUGGGCGUAAAGGGCGCGUAGGCGGACAGCUUAGUCAGAGGUGAAAGCCCAGGGCUCAACCUUGGAAUUGCCUUUGAUACUGGCUGUGUUGAGUUUGGGAGAGGUGAGUGGAACUCCGAGUGUAGAGGUGAAAUUCGUAGAUAUUCGGAAGAACACCAGUGGCGAAGGCGACUCACUGGCCCAAUACUGACGCUGAGGCGCGAAAGCGUGGGGAGCAAACAGGAUUAGAAACCCGUGUAGUCC
rnacentral:rRNA from 1 species